UACAGAGGUCUCAAGCGUUGUUCGGAUUCAUUGGGCGUAAAGGGUGCGUAGGUGGCGCUGUAAGUCAGGUGUGAAAUUUCGGAGCUUAACUCCGAAACUGCAUUUGAUACUGCGGUGCUCGAGGACUGGAGAGGAGACUGGAAUUUACGGUGUAGCAGUGAAAUGCGUAGAGAUCGUAAGGAAGGCCAGUGGCGAAGGCGGGUCUCUGGACAGUUCCUGACACUGAGGCACGAAGGCCAGGGGAGCAAACGGG
rnacentral:rRNA from 1 species